rnacentral:rRNA from 1 species
CAGUAGCCGCGGUAAUGCGAAGGGUGCAAGCGUUAAUCGGAAUUACUGGGCGUAAAGCGUGCGUAGGCGGUGAGUUAAGUCUGCUGUGAAAUCCCCGGGCUCAACCUGGGAAUGGCAGUGGAUACUGGCUCGCUAGAGUGUGUCAGAGGAUGGUGGAAUUCCCGGUGUAGCGGUGAAAUGCGUAGAGAUCGGGAGGAACAUCAGUGGCGAAGGCGGCCAUCUGGGACAACACUGACGCUGAGGCACGAAAGCGUGGGGAGCAAACAGGAUUAGAUACCCCAGUAGUCCCUGUCUCUUAUAC